rnacentral:rRNA from 1 species
UACGUAGGGGGCAAGCGUUGUCCGGAUUUAUUGGGCGUAAAGAGCGUGUAGGCGGCCACACAGGUCAGCUGUGAAAACUCGAGGCUCAACCUCGAGACGUCGGUUGAAACCGUAUGGCUAGAGUCCGGAAGAGGAGAGUGGAAUUCCCGGUGUAGCGGUGAAAUGCGCAGAUAUCGGGAAGAACACCCGUGGCGAAGGCGGCUCUCUGGGACGGUACCGACGCUGAGACGCGAAAGCGUGGGGAGCGAACAGG